GCUUAUUAAUGAGUUCUUAUAUUUCCUUCCAUUAAUGAUGGUUUACUUUUUGGAAAUAUAUGGUGAGAAUCCUUCUCCACAACAUCUUCCCAAAUGCCCUGAUUUGACUACCCAUCAAGUACACCAACCAGCCAGCCAAGGUGGUAGUCUUUUCUCCUACUGUACUUUCUGGUAAACUUAAGUGGAAAUGAAGCCACAAAUUAAAGCACUUUAUGCCUUUUCCUUUAGCCAUAAGAUAGGAGUUAUCCUAAGUAAAUACAACAAAAAAAGCUAUUCUGUGAUUGUCUAACCCUGGCAACCUAUGUUUUUUUCCCCCCUUUUAAAUCAAAGCCUUAAAAAUGUCAUGACUUUUUGUGGUGCUGCACAAUGAAAGAAAUACAUAUGUAUUCCAAUAUGGAACUGAGCAUUGUUUGAGGCCAAAGCAAUUCAUCGUGGGCUGUUCUGUGCCACAGUGUCCAGCAAAUUGCAUGACCUGCUUGUUAGGCUUGACAACAGUGUUUUACCUAACAAAGGCCUCUGCAGCGCCCAAGCAGCAGUGGAAUGUCAGAAUGAGCACAUUUCACACACAGAUGUGCAGCCAUAAUAGCCUAUAAGAAGAUGCAUGUGGCAGGGAGCAAAGG
rnacentral:lncRNA from 1 species